UAACCUAAAAAAAGAGAGAAUGGGCCUGCUUCCGUCACAAAUCUUGCUGUUACAACAGUAACACUCCAACUGCUAUACUAUCGUGUAAGAAGGCCAUAAGACGGCAAGUCUUCUAGCCGCAAUAUAUCAUCAAGCAGCAGCUCUCUUUCAAGCUGACGACGUGUGGAUUUCAUAACCAUAUUGAAGUCCAUAUAUGAUGCGUGCAUGGUAAGCCACUGAUGGUCCAUUAGCUUGAAUGUGAUGCAGUAUAGAAGAUCAAAUGCUAAUUCAUUCUCUGCUAGGAAUUUCAAGAAAGUUGCUCCAACUAUCGAUCGUGGCUUGACUGCUUCAAGAUCAAGCAUCUGAAUGAGCAUGAAUGUGAUGUUGACACCAGCUACAGCAAAUGGGUAUUCCCAUACUGACCGAUCACCUUCUCGCUUUUGAAGAAGAUCCUGGAAGGACUUCGGAAAAUUUCUAGCAAAGAACAACAAGUUCUCUAAUGAUAUAAAACCACCACCCCUAAAAUCUGUUGAUGGAUCCUUCCCUUGCCAGCCCAUUUCCUU
rnacentral:misc_RNA from 1 species